UUGAAAUAUUUCCUAUAAUUCCUAUACUUAGAUUAUGUUUACCAUUGUUGAAAGUCUGUAUUUGUUAUUUAAUUUUUGAAGUCCUGAACUACUGUAGUUGUUUUAUAGUUUCAAAGUCAAAAUCAGUCCCAUUAUUGGUACAAAAUAUUUAGGUUUUCAUUUUGUAAAAGUUUCAUUGUUAAAACUAAAGUGUUGUUGUUUAUUUUUGCCGUUAUCUGAUGAUGUAAAAAAAAAUUGAAUCAUUUUAUGAAGCUUUUUAUUUAUCAAUAGCUUUGAUCUUACCAAUAUUGGGGGGGGGGGGUUCUGAUCCCGUUUGCCGCUUACUUUUUUGUUAGAUUCCCAUAUCAUGCUUACACUAUGUGUGUAAGCUAUUCUAAUUUUUUUUUAAUUUCAUGUGUCCUGCUAGACUUCAUUUCCCCGUUUUCACAGCACAAUGAUUUGUUUUUCACGUGUCAUGCUUUCAAAAAAUUGGCAACCCCCGCGUCACACUUAGACCCUAAAGACACCCACAAUAUUGUUAUGUAGGUUUUAACAAGGCUAUAGCAAUGUGUACUUUAUUGAAACACUCUUGUGGUAUGUAAUGUAAGCAUAAAACUACAAUACUUAGUUACAUAGCUACCUGAUCAGUGGUAGUUUUUGAUUAUCUAGUUGUAAUACAAAUUACUGAAAAUGAUAGCUGUGAAAUUACCAUAGCAAGGGAGAUAAUUCCAAACUGUUG
rnacentral:lncRNA from 1 species